rnacentral:rRNA from 1 species
CACGUAGGGGGCAAGCGUUGUCCGGAUUCAUUGGGCGUAAAGAGCUCGUAGGCGGUCUGUCGCGUCGGCUGUGAAAUCCCGAGGCUCAACCUCGGGUCUGCAGUCGAUACGGGCAAACUUGAGUGUUGCAGGGGAGACUGGAAUUCCUGGUGUAGCGGUGAAAUGCGCAGAUAUCAGGAGGAACACCGGUGGCGAAGGCGGGUCUCUGGGCAACAACUGACGCUGAGGAGCGAAAGCGUGGGGAGCGAACAGG